rnacentral:rRNA from 1 species
GGACAGUGUCUGGUGGGUAGUUUGACUGGGGCGGUCUCCUCCUAAAGCGUAACGGAGGAGCACGAAGGUUGGCUAAUCCUGGUCGGACAUCAGGAGGUUAGUGCAAUGGCAUAAGCCAGCUUGACUGCGAGCGUGACGGCGCGAGCAGGUGCGAAAGCAGGUCAUAGUGAUCCGGUGGUUCUGAAUGGAAGGGCCAUCGCUCAACGGAUAAAAGGUACUCCGGGGAUAACAGGCUGAUACCGCCCAAGAGUUCAUAUCGACGGCGGUGUUUGGCACCUCGAUGUCGGCUCAUCACAUCCUGGGGCUGAAGUAGGUCCCAAGGGUAUGGCUGUUCGCCAUUUAAAGUGGUACGCGAGCUGGGUUUAGAACGUCGUGAGACAGUUCGGUCCCUAUCUGCCGUGGGCGCUGGAGAACUGAGGGGGGCUGCUCCUAGUACGAGAGGACCGGAGUGGACGCAUCACUGGUGUUCGGGUUGUCAUGCCAAUGGCACUGCCCGGUAGCUAAAUGCGGAAGAGAUAAGUGCUGAAAGCAUCUAAGCACGAAACUUGCCCCGAGAUGAGUUCUCCCUGAGACUACGAGUCUCCUGAAGGAACGUUGAAGACGACGACGUUGAUAGGCCGGGUGUGUAAGCGCAGCGAUGCGUUGAGCUAACCGGUACUAAUGAACCGUGAGGCUUAACCUUACAACGCCGAAG